AGCAGCCGCGGUAAUUCCAGCUCCAAUAGCGUAUAUUAAAGUUGCUGCAGUUAAAAGCUCGUAGUUGAAUUUCGGGAUCAAUAUGUUGGUCGUGCCUUGGUACGUACUAGCUCAUUGGUUUCUCCCUUCUGACGAACCAUGAUGUCAUUAAUUUGAUGUCAUGGGGAAUCAGGACUGUUACUUUGAAAAAUUGAGUGUUUAAAGCAGGCUCGCGCUUGAAUACAUUAGCAUGGAAUAAUGAAAUAGGACAUUUGAUUCUAUUUUGUUGGUUUCUAGGAUCGAU
rnacentral:misc_RNA from 1 species